rnacentral:rRNA from 1 species
UACAGAGGAUGCAAGCGUUAUCCGGAAUGAUUGGGCGUAAAGCGUCUGUAGGUGGCUUUUUAAGUCCGCCGUCAAAUCCCAGGGCUCAACUCUGGACAGGCGGUGGAAACUACCAAGCUGGAGUACGGUAGGGGCAGAGGGAAUUUCCGGUGGAGCGGUGAAAUGCGUAGAGAUGUGGAGGAACACCGAUGGCGAAGGCAGCCUCCUGGGCCAGCACUGACGCUCAUGCACGAAAGCGUGGGGAGCGAUCCGG